AAUAAUAAUGCCAUUGAAGGGCUUGGCCAGGAUGCACUGGCACAGCCAUUCCCACCCCCAGGGUGCACUGAGGGACCACCCCAUCCCCAGCCUCUGCUUGUCUAGGAGCCACCUCCUCCCCAGCUCCCAGACUCUGGGGAACUGCUGUGGAUUUAACCCCUUCUUGGCAGUCUCCCCCUCCCCAAACCCUUCCCCAUUAGGAGCCCCCUCAGCCAUCCCCCACCCCCUACUUUCCAGAACAUUCUUUUUGGGAGUUCAGAACAGCCCUUGGAUCCCCUUUGGACCCCGCCCUGCAGAUGGCCUGACAAACGUGCGACCUGGCGUGGCUGGAUUCCACAACGGUGGUUAAGCGUUAUUUGUUUCCUUUAAUGCACAUGUAUACACGGACAGCUGUGUCUGGAAGGGUUCCUGGGCUCAGAGCGGGUGUGAGUCAGGGCCCCGGGUGCAUGCCUGCUCGCCGGUGUCUGGGCUUACGUGAGCCCACUCAGGCAUAGCAACAUUCUUAAUUUAAUAUCUUUGUGAUGGAAAAUUUCAAAAAUGCACAGAAGUUGAGGGGACCAGACAGGGGUUCCUGCAUCCCCACGGCCCUCUGAAUCUUGCAGUCUUGUUUUGUCACCUCCUGGCGGGCUCCCUCUGCUGCUUUUUUCCCUUUUUGGUUGGAGUCCUUGACAGCAAACUGUAGACAUCAUACACACGUGUGUCAUUAAGAAAAAAUUUAUUUCUGAAAUAAUUAUAGAGUGGCAGGAAUUAUAAAGACAGUACAGCGUGGUCCUAUGUACCCUUCACCUAGUUCGCAUGGUUACACCUCACGUAAUUAUGCUGCGGUGUCAAAGCUUGGAACUGACACUGGAAGAGAGGGUGUGUGCGUGUGUGCACACGGUUCUGUGCCAUUUUUGUCACGUGUGUGGAUUCACUUCAUCACCAGGCUGCAGUGAAGAAUAGAACUAUUCCUUCACCACAAAGAUCUCCCUGUAGAGCCGCACCCACCACCCUGCCCCCUACCACCUCUGACCCCCCGCCACUCUGUACUUUGGUCAUUUGAGAAUGUUAUAUAAGUGGAAUCAUCUAGUGUGUGCCCUUGGAGAUCGGCUUUGUCUUUUUUUUUUUUUUUUUUUUUUUUUUUGGAAAACAACAGAAUGCCCCUGAGAUCCGUCUGAGUUGUUUUGAGAGUCAGCAGUUCCUUCCCUUCUGUGGCUGGGGAGGGAGUGGCCAUGCCACCGUCUGCACCACCGUUCACCUGUUGAGGGGCGCCCAGGCCAUUUCCAGUUUGGAGCUAUUCUUUUUUCUUUUCUUCUUCUUUUUCCUUUUUAGAGCCACACCCAUGGCAUAUGGAAGUUCCCAGGCUAGGGGUUGAAUUGGAGCUAUAGCUGCCAGCCUACACCACAGCCACAGCCACACAGGAUCCGAGCUGCCGCAUCAGCAACCUACACCACAGCUCAUGGCAAGGCUGAGUCCUUAACCCACUGAGCAAGGCCAGGGAUUGAACCCGCAUCCUCAUGGAUAGGAGUUGGAUGCAUUUCUGCUAAGCCACGAUGCGAGCUCCUGGAGCUAUUCGGAAUAAAGGCUCUUCAGGUUUUUGUGUGGAUAUAAGUUUUCAUUUCUCUGGGCUCCAUGCCCACCCAUGAGUGGGGCUGCAUAAAUAUCCGAGUUUAUGUUUAGUGUUUGAGAAACGGACAAGCUCUUUUCCCAAGUGGCUGUGUAGGUUGACAAUUUGUAAGAGAAGCAUCAAUUAGGAGGCGCCCAGGGAGGGAGCCCAGGGGCCUGGCAGCCUGUGUGCUGUGCUAGGUGUCUUUCCCACAGCAGGUGUUUGCUCCCUUCUUUCUAGAAGAGAUGACCAACGGCCAGAGCUAGCAAGUGGGAGCAUCAGAGCUUGAAUCCAGCCCCCUCUGCUCCAAAGCCUGUGGGGGUGAUACCCUCCCUUGCUGAGUGGCAGGAAUCGGUGUGGACUCUCUUGGGGAGCAGCAAGCAGACCGGGGGCAUCGGGGAGGAAGAGCCUGCUGAGAAGAAGGGGGCACAGGGAUUUCUCUCCUCGCCAGGCUGAACUCCUGCCUCCUGACCUUUGCACCGGCCCUUCCUCUCUCCAUCACUGAUGGGGCUGUUGGUCUGGUGCUAACUGCCUCUCAUGUCACCUGGCUCCCUGCAGGGAGGGGGCUCCCCGCCACUGCCCCCUGCACCCCGGAACCUCCAGCGUUCCCCUAUCCACCUGAGAAGCUGUGAGGUGAGUGCAGAAGACCUGUUUUUUGCCAUUCAUUCUCCCUGGCAGCUCUGAGCCCCUUUGCUGAGCUUUGGUAUCACAAAGAUGCUACUGGCGGCAAGGACAGCAACACCUGCUGUAUACCAGGCACCAUGGCUGGUGCUUGAAUAUAUGAUUUCAUAUGAUAGGCACCACCAGCCUGAAGGCAGGCCUUAUGCCACCGCUUUAGACACACAUGCUGAGGCUCCCCUGGUUCACAGGUGGCAGAGCUGGGAUUCAGAACCAGGUCCCUCCAACCAAGGCCCAGUCAUCUGGCCAAGCCAGAUAGGAUGGUCUCUCGUCAAUUCAGUUGAAGGAGUCUUGUCUUUCAUGCCCAGGAUGAGGUGGCCUGGGGCUCUGAGACACCUAGACUCUGCACAGGGGGCCCACCUGCCCAGAUGGGGGUCUGUGGUGGUCCAGGCAUUGGGGGAGCAGCCCUUGGGCUGAAGCCCUCACCUGGUCCUUCUCCCCAGCUGGCCAUGCCUUUCCUUCCUGGCUGUGUGAGCCCAGGUGGGUGACUUGCAUUCUCUGAGCCUCCCUGUCUGCUCUGCAUGGGGAAUUCCCAUUGUGGCUCAGCGGCUUAAAAACCUGACUCAUAUCCAUGAGGAGGCAAGUUUGAUUCCUGGCCUCACUUGAUGGGUUAAGGAUCCAGCAUUGCCAAAAGCUGUGGUGUAGGUCACAGAUGUGGCUCGGAUCCCGUGUGGUUAUGGCUGUGGCGUAGGGCAGCAGCUGCAGCUCCAAUGCCACCCCUAGCCUGAGAAUGUCCAUAUGCCACAGGUGUGGCC
rnacentral:lncRNA from 1 species